UGGAGGAAAGCAGGGGAUCGCAAGACCUUACGCUUUUGGAGCGGCCGAUGUCUGAUUAGCUUGUUGGUGAGGUAAAGGCUUACCAAGGCUUCGAUCAGUAGCUGGUCUGAGAGGACGACCAGCCACACUGGGACUGAGACACGGUCCAGACUCCUACGGGAGGCAGCAGUGGGGAAUUUUGGACAAUGGGCGCAAGCCUGAUCCAGCCAUGCCGCGUGAGUGAAGAAGGCCUUCGGGUUGUAAAGCUCUUUCAGCCGGGAAGAAAAGGCUGCGACUAAUAAUCGCAGUUCAUGACGGUACCGGAAGAAGAAGCACCGGCUAACUACGUGCCAGCAGCCGCGGUAAUACGUAGGGUGCGAGCGUUAAUCGGAAUUACUGGGCGUAAAGGGUGCGCAGGCGGUUUUGUAAGUCAGAUGUGAAAUCCCCGGGCUUA
rnacentral:rRNA from 1 species